rnacentral:rRNA from 1 species
UACGGAGGGAGCUAGCGUUGUUCGGAAUUACUGGGCGUAAAGCGCACGUAGGCGGCUUUGUAAGUUAGAGGUGAAAGCCCGGGGCUCAACUCCGGAACUGCCUUUAAGACUGCAUCGCUUGAAUCCAGGAGAGGUGAGUGGAAUUCCGAGUGUAGAGGUGAAAUUCGUAGAUAUUCGGAAGAACACCAGUGGCGAAGGGCGGCUCACUGGAGCUGGUAUUGACGCGUGAGGUGCGAAAGCGUGGGGAGCAAACAGG